UAUUUAUCUUGACAUUUUAUACAUGUUGUGAUGGUAAAGAAAUAUGAUUUUCUUUAACCCUUCACACUGAAGUCCUGUGCCAACCAAUGAAAACUAUCAGUUGGGAACCCCUAGUCUACCACACAGAACUAACAUCAUCGUUUUAUUCCAUAGGUCCUAGUGCAGACUUCAACAAGAGACCAAGGAGAAGAAGUUAAAGAUGGAGGUAUCAGCAGUCAAGCUUGAGUUGAAGUUAGAAAGAGAAGCAAACAGUAGGCAUGAAGAAGAAAAAGAAAAGCUAAAGGGAAAAUAUAGAGUUAAGAAGACAUUGAAGGAAUCUGAAGAGAAGAUAAAGGAGAAGGACUCAACUCUGGAGGAGAUGAAGAAGACAUUGAAUCUGAAGAGAAGAUAAAAGAGAAGGGCUCAACUCUGGGGGAGAUGAAGAAGACAGAAGAGAAGCAUCUAAAGGAAAAAGACAGAAAAGUAAACUUGCUCAACAGUUGAGCGAUUUGAAGUUUGAAAUGGAGAAACUGAAAACAAAAACCUCAGUCCUGAAGACCGGUGAGUGACAUACUGUAACUUUCUGGACUAACAGUUGUUUGGCUUUCUAGCAGCUGCUGGGCAAUUCAAACAAAUUACUGUUUAAUGGGCUAUAACAGUGUGGCUGCAGCAUGUCUACUUUCCAUGGGUAAUGGGAAUGUCAACAAUCCACACGGCACUAGGGGGAUCGUACAAC